AGUGAACGCUGGCGGUAGGCCUAACACAUGCAAGUCGAACGGCAGCACAGUAAGAGCUUGCUCUUACGGGUGGCGAGUGGCGGACGGGUGAGGAAUACAUCGGAAUCUACUUUUUCGUGGGGGAUAACGUAGGGAAACUUACGCUAAUACCGCAUACGACCUACGGGUGAAAGCAGGGGAUCUUCGGACCUUGCGCGAUUGAAUGAGCCGAUGUCGGAUUAGAUAGUUGGCGGGGUAAAGGCCCACCAAGGCGACGAUCCGUCGUUGGUCUGAGAGGAUGAUCAGCCACACUGGAACUGAGACACGGUCCAGACUCCUACGGGAGGCAGCAGUGGGGAAUAUUGGACAAUGGGCGCAAGCCUGAUCCAGCCAUACCGCGUGGGUGAAGAAGGCCUUCGGGUUGUAAAGCCCUUUUGUUGGGAAAGAAAAGCAGCAGGUUAAUACCCCGCUGUUCUGACGGUACCCAAAGAAUAAGCACCGGCUAACUUCGUG
rnacentral:rRNA from 1 species